CUGACUUGCCAAACAAUAUUUAUUUACAUGGUUUAGACUGAUUAACUAAAAACGAAGGACCAGUUAUAUACAUAAUUUGUUAAAGAAGUCCUGCCGCAAGAAAGAAAGAAAGAACAGCCGCAAGUUCUGUAUCUUCCGGUGACCGGCGCGUGGUGGCUUCGUUAGCACCACCGCCGGUCUAGUUAGCCUUGCCGUCUCUGUCCUUUGUAGAUCUGUUAGUUAGGUGUUGUUUUGGGGUGCGAAUCUGGGUCUGUGUUUGGUGACGAAGCAGACAGUCCGUGUCUCUUCGAGGUCUCGUCGGGACUCGGUGGUGGGGCGGGUGGAGACAGUCUGUGUGGUUGGUUUGUACGGAGGUCUCCGCUAGGCUUAAGCUUCGUUUCCUCUUCUCGCUUGUAUUCAUCUUCUCCUUUUUGUCUCUCAGCAAAUCUGGAUUACUAGAUGGUGUUUGUGUUCUGUCUGGUUUCAGCAACGGUAUAAGUGGUGGUGUGAUGGUGGCGGUUGUGUGCGAUGAGUAGAGCAUGCUUUUUAUUCUUCAGAAGUUGCAGGGUUCUUCUCACCUUUCCAUCUCUCAGGCAUGAAGGAGUCCUCGCGGCCUUAUAAUAAGUGUGGUUCCGGAUAUUCUCAUGAUUCUCUCGUUCUUCGGUGGCUUCGGUGGCUUCGGUGAAGCAAUAUAAUGAAGUUGAGGGUGUAGUCUUUCCGAUGAAGUUUCGCUUGAGGAGGGGGCUUUAGUUUCGGGUGUUUGUCUCUUCUAUAUUUGGAGUUUCUUGCAAUGCGUUUUGGCUCUGGUUUGGUACCGUGAACGGAUGGUUCAGGUAUGUUUGGUCCGGUGUUGUUGUGUUGGCCACUACUCCGCUUACUCUCUCUUGUGCUUGGUUGGUUCUUGGUAAGAGUGCCGGCUGUUUCUAUGACUGGACGACUUAUUUCUAUUAGCCUCUUCAAGGUUUGUCUUCGGUUUUGAUUAUAAGAGUGCAGUCUCAUCUUGUGUUUGACGUAGUUGUUGUAUGUGUUGCCCUUUGUUUG